rnacentral:tRNA from 1 species
GGGGCUGUAGCUCAGUUGGCUAGAGUGCUACGUUGACAUCGUAGAGGUCACUGGUUCGAUCCCAGUCAGCCCCACCA